rnacentral:rRNA from 1 species
CUUGGUCAUUUAGAGGAAGUAAAAGUCGUAACAAGGUUUCCGUAGGUGAACCUGCGGAAGGAUCAUUCAUAAUCAAGUGUUUUUAUGGCACUUUAAAUCCAUAUCCACCUUGUGUGCAAUGUCAUCUCACUGGGGUUACGUUUGUAAAAUUUCGUGAUCCGUUUGGGAUUUAUAUCUACUCAGAACUUUAGUCAUUUUGUCUGAAACAUAUUAUGAAUAACUUAAUUCAAAAUACAACUUUCAACAACGGAUCUCUUGGCUCUCGCAUCGAUGAAGAACGCAGCGAAAUGCGAUACGUAAUGUGAAUUGCAGAAUUCAGUGAAUCAUCGAAUCUUUGAACGCAUAUUGCGCUCUCUGGUAUUCCGGAGAGCAUGCUUGUUUGAGUAUCAGUAAACACCUCAACUCCCCUUUCUUUUUUUUGAAAUGGGAGCUGGACUUGAGUGAUCCCAACGCUUUUCUCACCGAAAAGUGGCGGGUUACUUGAAAUGCAGGUGCAGCUGGACUUUUCUCUGAGCUAAAAGCAUAUCUAUUUAGUCUGCCUAAAAAACAGAUUAUUACCUUUGCUGCAGCUAACAUAAAGGAGAUUGGUUCUUGUGCUGACUGAUGCAGGAUUCACAGAGACAGCUUCGGCUGGCUUUGUAAACUCGAUCUCAAAUCAAGUAAGACUACCCGCUGAACUUAAGCAUAUCAAUAAGCGGAGGA